UAAACGCGAGCACCCGGCAGAGAAGCGGCACCACCAUCAGUGCGAUCACGAGCAUCGCGAAGCCUGGUUUGGUCGCGGAAAAUGCGCGGCAGGGGUGGAAAAGGGCCGACGUGAACAUACCACACAGCCUGUGCCUGGCUGGCUGCCCGCCGGUUUUCGGCAAGAGACGACACAGCAGCAGCAGCAGCAGCAUCAGCAGCCUGUUCGUGACGAGCCCCAGAAUGCUCCUGGAGGGGGCUGACUCGGAAGGGGAGGGGGGGAGGCUCCAGAGUCGGCAUCCUCGGUUCUAGGGUGGAAACCACUGCCACCGACAACGAGGGUUGGUGGGGGAUUCAGAGAGGGCUAAAACGAGAGGUGGCUUGGUGGGAGGGAGAACAGUCGAUCCCUGGGGCACUACCAGGGGGAUUGGGGGUUGAUAUCGAGGGGCAGGGCUAGGUGGGCGAAGACGGAGAGGGCGUAGUGAUCCCGCGACCAUCAAACCAACAACACCGUCCCGACACAAAACGGCGCAUCCUGCUGCGCCCCCUUCUUCUUCUGUCGCUUCUGCCGCUUCUGCUUCUUCUUCUUCGUCGACACGUCCUGUUCCAUCGUAGUCGGCCACGGCGGCGUCGACCGAAGUCGGCUCACGCAUCCUGGCUUUCUUGCCGCUUUCAUCCACGCAAGAUGUCGAACACGAUCCUCCACGAUGGAUUCCAUGGAGGUAUCCGAGAGAUUCAUCUCCUGGACCUGCUGUCGAUGGACGAUGGAGUAUGGUUCUCCAAUACGGUGACCGUGGCUGGAAGAGGAUCCAGGAGACAUUCGAUCAGCUACCAUUGGAUCCACGGAACACGGAAUUCAUUGACAGAUACCAGGUAGAACCAUGCGGUUCGUCGGCCCGGUACCAGGGUUCUCAUGAAUGGAGGAGGGUUCGCCAGGAUCGAUGAAGAGGGCGUGCCUUCAGGGGAGGAUUGGUAUCCGUGACGUUUUCAACCCCACCUGAGAAGGCCGCAAACGGAGUGCACGUGCUCGAUUACGUCAUAAGGAUAGCCUGGACUGGAGCGAGAGUAAAGUCAUUCAGUGAUCCUGUAUCGCUGCUCGUUCCACGGUCAUAAGACUCCACUUCCGGUUCUCACCGUAACUGUAAAUUAAUGUCAACUUUACGGUAAGACCCAUUAGUUUCGUUUCUUCCUCAUCCCGAAAGAUAUGCAUUUCUAGAUCUUCUUGUUGAAUUUUUAGUAGUUCGAUUUUUAAUAAUAAUACCUUCUGUUAAUUUAUUCACCAUCUUUUUCGUAGUAUAUUUGCUUUGAAACUUUUUUAGUUCGUUUUUAUAUAUUUCUCAGCUUUGUAAGAUGCAAGAACGUAUAAGAUUCUCAUAGUUAAAGUCCUAUAGUCCCGUUUAAACUAUUUCUUUUGCAUUGUACAAUUGCACCAUAAAAGAACAUCGCCUUGCAACUCAAAAUAUUCGUAACGUGCACAAAUUCAAGUAUCCAAGUAGCAGAUCAAAAUUCCCAAGUUUUGACAUUCUCGAGACGAGCGUCAAAGUCUCCAUAGACGGGAAUUCGAGUCCUUGGGAUUUUAUCGCUCGUAUAAUUACUGUCGUAUUCGCCACGCCCGAUUACCCACCCCUGUUCUACACUCUCGAAAACAGCUCUUCUCUCGUGGUAUAGUUACCAAAACCAGGUAACGAUCGUUUUCUUUCUUGCGUCCCGCGUUUCUAUCUCCGUAAAGUAGCAUUAGAUCUUCGCGAGAUCUAAUCCAGAUCGAUCGUCCCAAAUUCGCUUCCCCUACUCUUCUUUAUCAUUCAGCCCCUUUCACGAGGCACGACGCUUUUUCCCGAGAAAUUAAUGACACUUUCGACAUCCCAUUGCAAAUGUCAACGUUGGCUAGCAUUUAAAUAACUUCGUAUUAAAUUCCUCGUCUCCAAGGGUGUCUCCUGCGAGGGUUAAUAGGCUGAGAUCGGGAGAGAGGGUGGGGGUUGUCGAGGUUAGGCGAGAGGGGUGGGUGUAGCGCGAGGAGGGUUUAAAUCGAUGGAUGAAACCCCCCUCCUGGUAACCCUGACCCACAGUUCUGGCAGACGAGGUCCCAGCCCUUCGAGGGAAUGCCCCAUUGUGCCACGGAAACCCCCGUUUCUUCCUCGCUUGACGGAUGUGAAUUGGCCUUUAGGGCGAUUGUAGCUUUCAAGCACGCGCUGGACCCCGUCGCGCGCUCACACAAACACACACACACACACGCAUACGAACACUGUUACGGCCCCCCAUAUCGAGUCACGCGCCCUUUAAAACGAGCAACACCCUUCUCACCAUGGUUUUUGGACGAGUUUCGGUCUACGGACCCCUUCGCCCUUUACUAGGACACUCGGCAAAGAGAUACGCUCGGCCAAUCACCUCUUCCAUCACGAAAAUUAUGGGUUUUCGGCUCGAACAGCACGAUCCGCUAUUGUGUCUCAAAAGGGGUAUACCCGUCUUUCGAAAAAAUUCGCUCGACCUAGUGUAUAGUCGUAUCUCGUUGUUUUAUGGGAUAGACGAGUUCGUUAGAGAUACUUUGUUAAACGAGGAACUUUUUUUUUUAUUGGAAAAGUUUCGGUAAAAGGUGUAAAAGUUUGCUCAUUCUCUCGUUUGGAGGUUGUAGGCGAUCGUACUUGUUUGUCGGAGUUGCGUUAGUGUCUCAAUGGAAUAUUUUAUGAAUGAGAACGAGUAUCCUUUAAAAAACCAUAAAUCUCUGAUUCUUCACGUUCCUCGAUAAAUAUGUUAAAAAUUAAAUAACGCAGUAUUCGUUUUCGAAAUGGUAAAAUCAAACAAUCGUAUACAAAAUUUCCACCUUGUUCUUUCUGUGACUACUAAUCUUUCCACGUCAAAAUUUAUCGUACAACGUAAAUACCUCACAAAGGAAAAGCGAUCUAUAAACCGCGAAAUUUUCUGUUUCCCACAGAGAAUUCGUAAAACCACGUCGAAACGGGGCGUAACGUAAGUCGUAAGACACGGUCAUGUUCUCUUACGUAGGCAACUCCGUGGCGAACAUCCAUCAAGAUCCGCGUCAAUAUUAGUCAGAGCAUCCCAUAUGUCCCUCUCCACGCGAGGAAAAAGUAUGGAAUGGGGUGGCUUUCUUGAUUAUGCGAAUAUCUACAGACAAUGGAACCCCAACGUCAGCUGCUCCCCGGCCCUGGAUAUCACGGGGUCGUACACCCUCAGCGAAAUAAGCAAUAAGUUAUGGUGGGACUGACGAACCCCCCGUAGACCCCCCUACUCCGCGUACCAACACCCUCUAACCACCCCUGAUCGUGGGUCCAUAGGACGAGUGGUAUCGUUCCAUAGUAUAGUUUCGACGCUCAUCAAGCUCAGUUCGCAUUGCGACGUGCAUCGCGCCGUGUGCUCGCCUACGCUUUUUUUCUAACCCCCGCGCGUGCUCUCGAUAUUAUCGAACGUAUACAUACGUGCAUCGAAUAACGAAACGCAUCCGUUGAACGCGAUACGUUUGAACAUUGUUCGAGUUGCAACGGUGAUUGAGAAUUUGUUGAUCGACCAUAGUGUUACGACGUUACAUCGUUUUAUUCCUUUGUUUUUAUCCCUUUUAUCUUCUUUUUCAUCUUUCUUAUAUCACGUUUAGUUUUAUCAUUUUACAUCGGGAUGUUGACUUCACUGUGGCAGUAACUCGUCGUUGAUGGGUUGACGGAGUAAAGACGGAUAGAGGAGGAAGAUACUGAAGAGGCUAGUGAAUAUUUCACACUGUUGGUGGAUUUUACGCGGAGGAAGAUGGAAAGAAGAAGUGAGAUGGUGGAAAAUACGAAGAUGCGUGAGUCUGUGCUCCUUGCGUUCACUGCGGGCUUCCAUGUGCCAACUUUUCAAAAUUCAUAAGGCACGCGGUGAAUGCCAAGAGCGGACCAAAUUCAACGUUCUCUAUCGCGAUACACGUCGAUCGUAGUUGGCAGUUCACGGAUUUCGACGAUUUAACUGUGCUCGUUACUUUUGCUACGACAGGUCAGUAAUGAGUUGAAAUUUCCAUGUCUGCGACUUUGAUUUUCAUUACGUUCAACGAUUAAUUUAUUUUUAAUUUUCCCUCUUUUUCUAUUUUUUUUUUUUUUUUUUUUUUAGUUUUAUAUCUUAAUAAUAGUAGACCGUAAAAGUGGAUCGUAGUAAUAGUUUUGAAUGAUUUCAAGUAGACGAGACUUCAGUAGUUCAAGAAAAUCCUUUUGUUUUUCAUUUUUUUUUUUAUUCUUCCUGCUAGAAUUUGUAGAAUUGUAGAAUUUCAGUUUGAUAACAGAGUGAAACUUUAAGUUUGUUGUAAAGUGAGAUCAUGUACAGUAACAGCUCCUCUUCGACUGUGUACAUAUGCAUUCUUUUUAACAAUAAAAAGAAAUAUCGUUUACCCCCGUCUAUUAUACCUGCGUCUCUCAAUCAUUUCUCCAUCACGAUUCUCUCUACUUCUUUCUUUUUCUUUUUCUACUCCCAUCGAGUGCCUAACCAUAUCAGGUAAGGAACCUUGAACUUUCUCUCUCUCUCUCUCUCUCUCUCUCUGCCUCGGUCUCGGUAAUUUCAUCCUGUAAAGAACCUUACUCAACACGUCAAUUAAUUUUUCACAAUCUAUUACAAACCGACGAAGAUCCUCUAAUCCUCAUUACGUGACCACGUACGAUCACAAUAAUAUAAAUUACAAUGCUUCAUCAACUUUUCCCAUUCUACCAUAUUCUACACACCCAUAUACUCAAUUCAUUCCCAAUUUAUCACGACUUAUUUUCCCACCACGUUUACAUUUCCUUGGACGUAUUUUCAACCCUGAAAAGAUACCAAAAACGAUCCACGCAAUUCUACAAAACAACGAAGGGAGCCCUUCCUACGGUUUGUUCCCAAUCCCUCGACUUUCUCAAGGACAAACUCGUGAUCGAACCCAGCGAUGAUCGUAGAGCGGCAUCAACGAGCAGCAGAGACAUAGAGAGCAGGGUUAGCAAUCGUUUUAAGUGUCCCAGCGUGGCACGAGCGGCGAUAAGGGUGGGAGAGAGGGCUUAAAGUCAGCACCCCCGUAAUGGAAAUUGGGGAAUUCCCGAACGUACGACGAAAACGGCCGCUUGUAUCGACCGAGUCCUCAUCCGCGGAACGGGCAAAUACGAGCUGCCGGUGGCAAGAGGGGGUGACUGCUAGCAUAGGGGGGUGGUAAGGAGUGAACGGAGGUUUAAGGGUGGACGUACGUUGCCUGGCAACCCAUCCCUUCUCGCCAGCAUCCCCCUGGACCGCCGCGGCUCCAGCAACGAUGCCACGUUACCAAUACCAACCGCCGAUGCUCUGUGCUUCCACCUUCUACCAACGCGGCUACCGAGAGCUCGAUUUUCCUCUACCCCGGUUAUACGUAUACCCUGUUAAAGGAAACGCGUCCUCACUCUACAGACCCGUCCAACACUCCAGCAGUUUCCUCCAUUAUUCAGGCCCGAUGCUCAACCACUGUCCCUUUUCGUCGGUUUCAUCCCUCCACCUGCCAGACGUAGCAUCCUCUCUCUUUUUCUUUAUUUCCAGCUUUCCACGGGGCACCGCAGAGAAUCUCCGCCGCGGAUAAUGGACGUCUGUGCACGCGAAUUAGAAACGACGAUCGCGAAAUCAAGCGUACGCAGGCUUUCGUUAUCGGAAAAGCGGUUCGAUUGCAACGGGGGUUGGGGAGGAUACGCCGUUAUACUCGGGAUUUGAGACGAGUUGGUAAUAACGUAGAUUAUUCGAUCGGUGGAGAGAAUAUUUUCUAUACUCGAUUAUUAUAGAGAAGCUUUUUUAAAAAGAAAAAUAGCAAUUUAGAUUAUUCGAUUGUUAUUAUAGAUUAUCGGAAUUAGUUUGUUCUUAAAUUUGUAAAUAUAGUGUAGAAAUAGUGUAGAGAUGAUCGAGUUUUAGGUCUGAGAGAUCUAGAUUAUUUGAUUAUUGUUAUUAAUAUCAUAGAAAAUUCUUUCCUUGCGAAUGGGGAUGAUAAAGACACGAACGUAGAGAAACGUGCCAUAAUUUCGAACCGUAAAAUACUUUGAAUUCGGAGAACAUAUUUUACUCGAUCGUUAUAACGAACUUUUUUCUUGCAAAUGUGUGUAACGAGAAUAGCAAUAUAGGAGGACGUAACAGAGCUUUAAAGGAUCAUGAAUUUCGGUUGUCGUAUAAAGCUUGAUCGUAAUAAAGUAUUUUUUCCUGUAAGUAUAUAGAUUAACAGCAGAAUUUUAAACCUAAAUUUAGAUAUCGCGAGGUUUCGCGUUUUCAAGAAUAUAAUUUUAUAAAUACCGUGCGAUAUUCAAGAGUAACCUCCAUCGUCCGAUAUCGACGAAUCUAUCUUUGCUCCUCGCCGAGAGUAGCGAUUAUUAAUGACGCGAACCUCGGCAUCGUUGCAAGAACCAAUAACAUCUUAGAUACGUAGAUUUACGUAGAUUACGUAGAUAUUAGAACGACCAAACUACUUUACCUUAUAUUUUAUUAGAACGAAUGUUUUCGAUUGAUCAAGAACUGUAAUUAAGGUUUGAGAGUGUAUAUAUAACGUAUUUGUGAAAGCAAGGUGUGUGACCGAUUUACUAAUAACACAUUCGUAUGAAGAAACAUGUUUAAUUGCAUGAUGUAAUGUGGUUGGAAUAAACGAGCAUACGUAACCAAUGCAUCGCACAUUCUUUCCAGCGAUCCACAAAACGCAUCAAAAUGAUAAACCCGCUCCUAUAAUUACCAAGUUGUCUAACCUGUCGCUUCUGAUUAUCUACAAUCGUCGUGACUUUCAC